UACGAACCGUGCAAACGUUGUUCGGAUUCACUGGGCUUAAAGGGCGCGUAGGCGGGCCAUCAAGUCCGGGGUGAAAUACUUCGGCUCAACCGGAGAACAGCCUUGGAUACUGAUGGUCUCGAGGGAGAUAGGGGUGCGUGGAACUUCCGGUGGAGCGGUGAAAUGCGUAGAUAUCGGAAGGAACGCCGAUGGCGAAAGCAGCGCACUGGAUCUCUUCUGACGCUGAGGCGCGAAAGCUAGGGGAGCGAACGGG
rnacentral:rRNA from 1 species